UCCAAUCCGACAUUCUUAUCUCCAAAACAAACAUGCCCUAACAGUGAAAACACUUUCCUUUUGAAUUUUGUAUCAUUCGCUUUCUUCCCUUUGCCAAUGCCUCAUCGCCCGGAGUUCUGAGUAUGAGGGGCUGCUCUCCAUGGGUGGAUCGACUGUCAGUUCCUUCAUUUGUGCUUUUAGAGACCAUUAUAUCGAUUUGUAGAUGUCUAUUGUCGAUUUUCCAUAGACGACGCCAAUUGUGAGGGGUCAUUGAGAAAAGGAGGAAGGAAAUU
rnacentral:lncRNA from 1 species